AGGUGAACUACGUCAGGAUGGGUGUGUUCCACUUCUGCUGCUUGAGGUGGGUUUACCUCUUGUUCUUGUUUUGUUUUGUUUUGUUGCUGUUUUUUAAGCAAAUGGAUAAAAAUGUCAAGGCGGGAGGGGAGCGUGUGGAGAAGAGGGGUGUUUAGGGGCCUCAUAACGUUUUUCUCAUGAUUGGUGGGUUCUUGCAAGAAGAGGAAGGAAGGGACUUUCUAAUGUCCCAGAAAAGCUGCGAGAGGUGUAGGAUUCUAUGAAGACGCACUUUGGCGACGAGGGCCUUCCUCAGUGUUCCAAGCAGACAGGAAGUGUAAAUCAAUAACGAAGUAAACCAAGGACUCAUAAUAAAUCAAGGCAUGAUUAGUGGCCCUCGCCCCCGUCACGUGUUCCCUCCUGCUAGACCCGAAGCUCCCCAAAUGCAUUUUGGGAAGUGCCCUCAGCCGUCCUGCGCACCGCAGUAAAGACGAGGAAGAUCUUCUGCCUCGGCGGCGGCAGUUCGCCUCCCAGCACAAUGCAACCUAAAUCAUUUAUAAACAGAUCAAAAUAACAAUCUGAAUUAUCUAACAUUAACAGCUGAACUGAAGAGCCCAAGAUUACGUGAUGAAUUGUUAAAUUGCAGUAGCAUUGUUUUGGAUUGCUAAUUAAAAAAAAUAAGCAAACCCCAUGACUCUAGAUAUGACAACUGAAAAUACCCACAAAUUAUUUAAUAAAUGAAGCGUCUAACAACUUUAACACUUCCUGGUCGCCUUGUUAAUAAAUGUAAUUUGAGGUAGAUUUUAAAAAUCUUCAAUCUAAACAGUGAAUUCAUUACGCGCCAUUCAGAUCUCUGGAUGCCUAUGGACUUCUUGGAAUUAGGUGUUAAAUAGACAAAAGUGAACCAAACUGCCUUUAAAAGCACAGCAUGACCAUGUAAUUCUUUUUCCAGUUUGUGGUAAAAAAUGAUGAAACUUCUUUCCAAGUAGCUAUCACCCAGAUUUAGUGUGAAAAGUAGUGUAAUUGUAAUUCACGCCAUCAGGGUCUAUGGCUGAUAGACGAUCAGCUGUUCUGUAGUGGGGAGAGGCUUUCUUUUCAAAUAGGAAAGCUGCCAAGUGCUCUGCGAUACCUCCAGCAAGCUUAUCGGAUUGAGUUCAGAGCCAAAACAGCAGCUGCACACAUAUGCAAAUUGGCAAUUAAUAGUAUAACAUUCUGUAAAAAAAAAAAAAAAAAUGUUUAAAAAAAUUUUAAAGAAAAUAGAAAGAAGCUACCUGAACAUUAACCUCCACUGUAACUGGGACUUCUAGGAUGAAUGACUAAGGAUUAAUUACCCUCUGGAGAGGACUUGCUCUUUAUUACCUUCUCUCCUGCAGAUCAAGUCUUUGUUGUCUUGCUGAGUUUUGUCUGUUUCAUGGAACACAGCAAUGGACUCUACAGGAAGAAGUUUAAAAAUAACUAAAAAGCCCUUAUAGUUUGAUUCCAGAAAAGGGGGAAAAUUAAGUCCUCUCCAUUGAUCAUUCUUUCUUAUACACAGAGAUCACAAAGCAAGAGCUCUAGCAUGCUCGGGGCAAAAACAUUUUGUUCUGGAUGUCAUCAUCUCCUUCCACUACAGCUUGCAGUAGGAACAAGCUUCACAUCCUGGGGGUGCUGCCUGUCUCUGUCUUGAUUUCUGUCUGUCUCUUCCUCCCAUUGACAGGAAUGCCGUUUGUAGGCUUCAAGCAGCAAUAGCAGAAAUCUAGCAAGAUUUAUGAUUUACAUUGCCCAGCGUGUAUAAACACAACGCGCUCAAAUGAUGAAAGAAAAAAAAUCAUAUGAAUUUGUUAAAUGUCUUGACAUCCUGGCCCCACCCCAGUUCUCACACACACGAGUACACUGUUUUCUCUGAUAAGGUCAUGUAAUAGCUAUGGCUGGACUUAGGUGGACAACCUGAGCCCCUAAGAAGGGCCUGGCAUUUUCACAGCAGGCCUUCCACCAAUGCUUGGAGUCUUCCUCUCCCUCU
rnacentral:lncRNA from 1 species